AGAGAGAGACAUGCGCGCAUAUCAAUAAGCGGAGGAAAAGAAACUAACAAGGAUUCCCCUAGUAACGGCGAGUGAAGCGGGAAGAGCUCAAAUUUGAAAUCUUAAAGGGUUUCCCUUUACGAAUUGUAGUUUAAAGAAGUGUUUUCUGUUGAGGUUUUGGUAAAAGUUCCUUGGAAUAGGACAUCAUAGAGGGUGAGAAUCCCGUAUUUGACCUUUACUUUCAACUUUGUGAUACACUUUCAAAGAGUCGGAUUGUUUGGGAAUGCAGUCCAAAAUGGGUGGUAAAUUUCAUCUAAAGCUAAAUAUUGGCGAGAGACCGAUAGCGAACAAGUACCGUGAGGGAAAGAUGAAAAGAACUUUGAAAAGAGAGUUAAACAGUACGUGAAAUUGUCAAAAGGGAAGCGUUUGACACCAGUGUUGUUUUUCUGAAAAUCAAUUAAAGAACUGUUUAUGCUAAGUUGUUUAGACUUUAUCAGCUAACUGUUUAGUUUUGAGCUUUUCUUUAAUGCACUUUUCAGUUAACAAGUCAACAUCAAUUUCUUUUGCUGUAAAAAAGCUUGAGGAAGGUGGCUUGAGAUUCGUCUUAAGUGUUUAUAGCCUCUUGCCUAUGCAGUCGGAGAGAUUGAGGUCUGCAGCGUAGAUCCUUCGGGGCUAAAUGCAUUUGUGCUAAGUUAUAGCAUUUUAUAGACAACUUGUUGACUAUGAUUUGUCUUGUAGCUUACUCGCUUAUGUUAUUUUACCUACGCUUAGGAUGUUGAGCGCAUGUCUCUCUCU
rnacentral:rRNA from 1 species